rfam:Ovis aries breed Texel chromosome 18, whole genome shotgun sequence.
UCCCUGGUGGCUCAGACAGUAAGAGCGUCUGCCUACAAUGCAGGAAACCGGGGUUCGAUCCCUGGGUUGGGAG